GUGAGAAUGUGUCAAGUAUUUAAAUGAUCAAAUACAAACCUCCUUGUUUCACAAGUGACAGAAUGUUACCAAAAGAAGAACUUUAAUCACGUGACGUGACGUCAGCACAUCCCGGACGUUUAAGACAACUGCCAGGCCUCUUCCAUAUGUGUGAUAUGCAGUCAGGUCGCGUUCAGCACACCUAUACCUACCUACCUCAUCCACAGGUGACCAAGGUGACAAUCCUUGAGAAUGAGGGAAAUCCGUGGGCGGGCCUACGAGUCCUUUGGAAGAAUCAAACAGAAGAUGGAGGUUUGGACUUGUGUAGUGACUGUCGACCAUCCUCACCAUAUUGUCCACACGGAGGUGGGUGAGCCUCCCUUUUAAUUACAUGAAAUGUUACAAUACAUUUAAUAACAUGAAAUGU